rnacentral:misc_RNA from 1 species
CAACAAUUCAUUUUCACACAGUUAGCAAAUAUAUGUUCAGUAAGAUUUAGUGUAUCAAGCUCCCAGCACCCAAGAAGAGUCCAAAAAUGGUUGCACUUCCCAAAGUUGUUUGUCCAAUGUAUCUGAUUUUUAGAAGUCCAGGCACCUUGAACCUAACAGCAUCAUAAGUCCCAUAUACAACACCAACAGCGCCACCAACUGCACCACCUAUAGCAACACCAGCAGUUACUCUCGCUAGACAACUAUCUCUUGCCAUAUUUUUCUCUCUCUGUCCCAUAUACAACACCAACAGCGCCACCAACUGCACCACCUAUAGCAACACCAGCAGUUACUCUCGCUAGACAACUAUCUCUUGCCAUAUUUUUCUCUCUCU